AGUCAAGCCUCAGUUUCCCUCAUCUGUAAAAUGAAAGGGUUAGACCAGAUGACUUCUAAGGUGCUUCCAGGUCUGCAUCCAUGAUCCCAUGAACUUUCAAUGUGGGUAACUCCCUGUAAGGAACUUUCUUAUAGGGUUCAUUGCUGAUCCAAUGAAGAUUGACAACUGGUCUGAGAAAAUUGCUUGGGAAAUUGAGAGGUUGACUUGCCCAAGGUCAUACAGCCUGUAUGUGUUAUAAGUGGGACCCAAACCCAAGUCUUCUUGAGUUGAAGGUUGGUGCUCUAUAUACUAGCCCAGGUUGCCUCCCAAAGCACUUUAUAAACCUUAAAUAAAGGACUUAAAAAAUCCCAGCUUUUACCACUCCUGUUUCUAUCACUCUGUACCCAGAGCUUCAGGGUAUCUUGUCCGUGGGUCAGGGUACAAGACUUGAGUCAGGGUCAACAUUUCUUUUGUGUUUUGGGCAGGCUUCCUGUUCUCUUUGGGGCCAAGAGAGAUGCAAGAAAAUCCCACUUCCACAAGUCAGCCCAUUUGCCUGGCUCCUUUGCCUCGUAAUGGAAUUAACUUCUUGAAAGAUCAAUGCCCAUCAAUUCUACAAUAAAUAUUAAAUUGUUUUGCAGGGCUGGAGGUGGCAGGCUGUUAGCCCAUAAUAUUGGUCCAGUAACACACUGUAAUUCCAGGCACUCUGGGAAGGCACCAGUGAAAUCUCAUCAUCAAAAAAACAUUUUGUUCUUCCUGGCCAGAUCAGGCCUCGGGGAGGAGUCAAGGUUUCUGAGCUGGUGUCCGACCGACUGAGCUCAGGAGCUGGAGAGGAAUUGAGCUCCCACUGAGCCCAUCCCAGACAUCCUGUUCAUUUUCCUCUAGUCCAGAUGGACACAUUGGAUAGGGGCUGGGGGGUGUGGACAGGGAGGAGAGAGAGGGAGGGAGACUGGAAGGACAGGGAGCUUUAGGACCUUACUCUUUCGAAGACAUCAGUGUGUUGCAAGAGUGUUGUUUGUAAGAAUGCCCAGCCCCUAAGCUGGAUUCCUGCAGGAGUGGGGAGGAGGCAGCAUUGGCGUGAGUCCCAGGAAACUUUGCUUGGUGGACUGACAUUCAGAUCAAUUCAAUGGGCAUUUAUUAAAGGUUAUUCUGAGGAUCAAAU
rnacentral:lncRNA from 1 species